GCCAGCACCACAUGCCCAGGGUCAGCAUCCAGCCUCUGCCUGUGAGCUGAGUCUGGUGUUCUUACAGAGAGGAUCCACCUGCCUGGACCCUCUGAGGGAGGAGCAGCCAGGGCAUGUCCACACCGCAGAGUCAGUGAGGACUGUGAGCUGGAAGACCCAUCCCUUCCCUCUGCAGUGAGGGCACAUGAGCCACGAUGAGAGGACCAAGGCUCAAUGAAGUGACACUCAUUGCUUCAGAUACUCAUUGACACAAGAAAGGGCAGAGAUGAGGACACGGGCACAGAAGCUGGUAAUGGCACAAACAGAACCUGAAUUGGGGCUAUUGGCUGACCUCUGCAGUAGAGACCCUUUAAGGCAGCAGAGUCCUGGCAGACAGAACUCAGAUUCCAGUCACAGUCCUAACAUAUCAAAAGGGGUUUCUGGAUGCCUGUGAGAACUGGUGAGCAUAUGAACUUAACUUGACCUGCUUAUCGAAGUGGUCCAGGAAGCACUUGCGGGUCAAAGGGCUUAGGGAAGAACAAAGCCUGAAGUGAGAGUUGGACCAGGUUGGCAGACUUGUCUUCUGGCCACUGCAUCUGCCAGUCUGUCAUCAACAUUGCCUAGGAAACACCUGCACUCCCACACUUGGCCAUGGCCUGCUGUUUCAUUAAUUUCCAGCAGGUCUCUAGCUAUCCCUUGGAUGUUUUUUGUUUCUACACAAUUGACCAUGGUAUAAAAGGUGCUCCUCCUGU